rnacentral:rRNA from 1 species
CCUACGGGUGGCAGCAGUGGGGAAUCUUGCACAAUGGGCGAAAGCCUGAUGCAGCAACGCCGCGUGCAGGAAGAAGGGUUUCGGCUCGUAAACUUCUAUCAACAGGGACGAAAGACAUGACGGUACCUGACUAAGAAGCCCAGGCUAACUUCGGUCCAGCAGCCGCGGUAAUACGUAGGGGGCAAGCGUUGUCCGGAAUUACUGGGUGUAAAGGGUGAGUAGGCGGCAUGGUAAACCAGAUGUGAAAGCCUUGGGCUUAACCCGAGGAUUGCAUUUGGAACUAUCAAGCUAGAGUACAGGAGAGGAAAGCGGAAUUCCUAGUGUAGCGGUGAAAUGCGUAGAUAUUAGGAAGAACACCAGGGGCGAAGGCGGCUUUCUGGACUGAAACUGACGCUGAGGCGCGAAAGCGUGGGGAGCGAACAGGAUUAGAUACCCGGGUAGUC